AGGAGGAGGGGGCGGUGGGCGCAGCCGGCCGGGCCGCGGCCGCUCCGAGGUGAACGGCGCCGAGACGGGCUCGCGGCGCGGGGAGGCCGGGCGCGCCGCCGCUAUGAAUUCCGCCGAGCAGACCGUUACGUGGCUCAUUACCUUGGGGGUGCUGGAGUCGCCCAAGAAAACCAUCUCGGACCCGGAGGGCUUCCUGCAGGCGUCUCUGAAGGAUGGGGUGGUCCUCUGCAGGCUGCUGGAGCGCCUGCUGCCCGGGACCAUCGAGAAAGUCUACCCGGAGCCCCGGAGCGAGGGCGAGUGCCUGAGCAACAUCCGCGAGUUCCUGCGAGGCUGCGGGGCGUCCCUGCGCCUGGAGACAUUUGAUGCAAACGAUUUGUAUCAGGGGCAGAAUUUCAACAAGGUCCUCAGCUCCUUAGUGACUCUAAAUAAAGUAACAGCAGACAUCGGCCUGGGAAGUGACUCCGUGUGUGCCCGGCCCUCCUCUCACCGGAUCAAGUCUUUUGACUCCCUGGGACCCCAGCCUUCGCACGGUCGGACUUCAAAAUUGUUCCAGGGCCAGUAUCGGAGUUUGGACAUGACGGAUAAUAGCAACAAUCAGCUGGUCGUAAGAGCCAAGUUUAACUUCCAGCAGACGAAUGAAGACGAGCUGUCCUUUGCGAAAGGCGACGUCAUCCACGUCACGCGGGUGGAGGAAGGGGGCUGGUGGGAGGGCACGCACAGCGGCAGGACCGGCUGGUUCCCCAGCAACUACGUGCGCGAGAUCAAGCCCAGCGAAAAGCCCGUGUCACCCAAAUCUGGAGCCUUGAAGAGCCCUCCCAAAGGAUUUGAUACAACUGCCAUUAACAAAAGCUAUUACAACGUGGUGCUACAGAAUAUUUUGGAAACAGAAAAUGAAUAUUCUAAAGAACUUCAGACUGUGCUUUCAACCUAUCUACGGCCACUGCAGACCACUGAGAAGUUAAGUUCAGCAAACACUGCAUAUUUAAUGGGAAAUCUAGAAGAAAUAUGUUCUUUCCAGCAAAUGCUUGUACAGUCUUUAGAAGAAUGUACCAAGAUGCCUGAAGCUCAGCAGAGAGUCGGAGGCUGCUUUCUAAACCUGAUGCCGCAGAUGAAGACCUUGUACCUUGCGUAUUGUGCCAACCACCCGUCUGCAGUGAGCGUCCUCACGGAGCACAGUGAAGAGCUGGGCGAGUUCAUGGAGAUGAAGGGCGCCAGCAGCCCAGGCAUUCUCGUGCUGACCACCGGCCUCAGCAAGCCGUUCAUGCGCCUGGACAAGUACCCUGCGCUGCUCAAGGAGCUGGAGAGACACAUGGAGGAUUAUCAUCCAGAUAGACAAGAUAUUCAGAAAUCCAUGACUGCCUUCAAAAACCUUUCAGCGCAGUGUCAGGAAGUACGGAAAAGGAAGGAGCUGGAGCUGCAGAUCCUGACGGAAGCCAUCCGGAGCUGGGAGGGGGAUGACAUUAAGACCCUGGGCAACGUCAUUUACAUGUCCCAGGUCCUGAUUCAGUGCGCUGGGAGCGAGGAAAAGAAUGAACGAUAUCUUCUGCUCUUCCCAAAUAUUUUGCUAAUGUUGUCUGCCAGUCCUAGGAUGAGUGGUUUUAUAUACCAGGGAAAGCUACCAACGACAGGAAUGACAAUCACAAAGCUUGAGGACAGUGAAAAUCAUAGAAAUGCAUUUGAAAUAUCAGGGAGCAUGAUUGAGCGGAUCUUAGUGUCCUGCAGCAACCAGCAGGACCUGCACGAGUGGGUGGACCAUCUGCAGAAGCAGACGAAGGUCACCUCUGCGGGAAACCCCACCAUUAAGCCUCACUCUGUGCCGUCUCACACCCUCCCCUCCCACUCGGUCACCCCGUCCAGCAAGCAUGCGGACAGCAAGCCCGUGCCGCUGACGCCCGCCUACCACACGCUGCCUCACCCCUCGCACCACGGCACUCCACACACCACCAUCAACUGGGGGCCCCUGGAGCCUCCGAAGACCCCCAAGCCCUGGAGCCUGAGCUGCCUGCGACCCGCACCCCCUCUCCGGCCCUCAGCUGCGCUCUGCUACAAGGAGGAUCUCAGCAAGAGUCCCAAGACCAUGAAAAAGCUGCUCCCCAAGCGCAAGCCCGAGCGGAAGCCUUCGGACGAGGAGUUUGCGCUGAGGAAAAGCACGGCUGCGCUGGAGGAGGAUGCCCAGAUCCUGAAGGUCAUCGAGGCUUACUGCACCAGCGCCAAGACGCGGCAGACGCUCAACUCAACAUGGCAAGGCACUGACCUGAUGCAUAAUCACGUCUUGGCUGAUGACGACCAGUCAAGUCUAGACUCCCUGGGUCGUCGCAGCAGCCUUUCUCGUUUGGAGCCUUCAGACCUCUCGGAAGACUCUGACUAUGACAGUAUAUGGACAGCCCAUAGUUACAGGAUGGGUUCUACAUCUCGUUCACGCAAAGAAUCUGCGCCACAAGUUUUGCUUCCAGAAGAAGAGAAAAUUAUAGUUGAAGAAACUAAAAGUAACGGUCAGACAGUGAUAGAAGAAAAGAGUCUCGUCGACACCGUGUAUGCACUAAAGGAUGAAGUCCAGGAGUUACGACAGUUACAAGUGGGGGCCCUAGGCCUGCUCCGUCUGUGAUUUGUCUUGGUGCCCAGGAGCAGCUCUGCAUCCGUCAGACACUGGGGGGUCCUGGUCACCGCACCCCUGGCCGCGGCGCAGGGCGGUCCCAGCCCAGGAUUUCUUCCAGAUAACAAGAAGAUGAAGAAGUCUCUGGAGGAGGAGCAGAGAGCCCGCAAAGACCUGGAAAAGCUGGUGAGGAAGGUUCUAAAGAACAUGAACGACCCCGCUUGGGACGAGACCAACCUCUAAGGAACGUUCUCGAAGACCGGUUACGAGACCAAGCUGGAGCCCCGUGACCACACCCGAGGGACUCUCAGGACCACAGAGCAGGGCUGCACGGGAGUCUCUUGCCUCCUGUGCGUAGAAAAGCUGCAGCUGAUCACGGCCGUGGCGUUCCUGAAGAACCAGUGUGAGGUGCAGACGCCGAGGCCAGACUGCGCUGCCUUCCUCUCAACAUCUCAGUACCUCAUUCUGCAAUAAGUGCAGUGACUGCGUCUGGUCUUUCAGGCUUUGAUUGAAUAUAUAUAAAUGUUAUAUAUACGUUGCCUGUAAAUGCUCCCUUUUGAAUGCGUAUCCGUGGUUGCUGUGUCGGGGCUCAUGCCUGUGCUGCAGUCUCCCUCCACUAACCUCUCGGGUUCCGUGCACUGGGACGCGUGCUCACGCACUCGUGGAAAGCAGAGUCUGGAGAGCGCACAGGUGUUUCUGGGAGAUGCCUGCUCUGUUCUCCGCCACCGCAGUGCUCCGAAGACACCUCCCACUGCAGUCUGCCUAAACAACUCACCUUGUUCGUACCUGCAGAGACACCUUCAUCCCGCUGGAGAGUCUCCUGGUAAAGCAGUACCGCAGUCGCUGGCGUGCGGCACUCUGGCUGAACUCGGGGGUCUGGGCCUCAGCCCCGAACCCGAGGAAUCGCGUCUGCUGCCACUGUGUCCAGCGACAGUGUGCACGCGUCCGCUUCUUGUGAACACCUGAGCGUCGGAGGGUAUCCAGCCCGCUGGGGGGGACUGACGUGUAGGCUGGUUUCAUAACUUGGCCAGGUGCACUGUUUUGUCCUCCCCCCGAGAGAGCAAGCUCACUAGAGCCUGUAAAUAAAGUGUGUUAUUUAUUACACGUCGCCGCAGCCCGCGAGGGUGAGCUGUCCUGCGGGUGGGGUUUGUGUGAGGCCGGUCUAACCCCGAGACCUGCUCUCCCGUUGGGUGCAGCAGGCAGGCCUUCUGUGCUCGCCGGAAAGGCAGUGUUGCCACUGUUUCAGCAAGAAUGAAGCAAUAUACACCUGAGAUUCCCCUAAGGGGUGGGAGCUGAAACGUGCCCCUCCCCCGUCCCACCUCCACCCCGGUGUCCAGACAGCAGGGGACACAGAGGAGGAAGCCUGUCCUCUCCAUAGCCCCGGCCUCGGGUCCAGCUGAUUCCUGUGCUCUGCCCCCUGCUCUUAUGAAGAGGCCGUUUUUAAAGUGAGAUAAUCUUUUACUACAGAGAACAAGUGUCGUGUCUUUAAAAACCAGAAUCCCAGCACCUUGCGUCGGAGACAGAAAUGCCCACAUAGCGCCAGAUGUGACUCUGUGAGCUGUGCCCUUCCACUGCAUCGGACCGUCCGAUGUCCCCGAGCUGGGCGGCUCGGGCCUCGUGGCCCCCAUGGUCCUCGGCCCACGGCCUUACUCUCAGGCUCCCCGGCUCGGCCGUUACCUGCUCAGCGGGUGUGCCUGGGGCCCGACUUGAACUGCCCACACUCGACCUUGUUACGAGAACUGCCAACUUCCUGUACUUAGCAUUGUGUUCAUUAGUGCUAGGGCCAGAAAAGAUUGUCUCUAGGGUUUUUUGGUAAGCCCUGUUUUUACAGUAGUAUCUUUCGAUGAUGCGUAAGACAUUGCAGUGGGAAGCAGUCCAGUUCGAGCGUACUGAAGUUUGCUGUCUCGAGCAAAUUCUAACUCAGGAACCAUUCAUCACCUGGUCUCUCCAGCACUUUGUGGCGGCAGUGUUGCCGCCAGCGUCCUGGGCCGGGGCUCUUGCAGAGCCUGCCUUACCUAUUGGUUUUAGCACCCCUUCUCCUGAAGGGGUGACUGGUGACAUGCUUGUGUAAUGCGUUACCUUUUCUUCUCGUAGAUCCAAGGUUUGACUAAGCUUUUGAGGGAGCAGAGAGGAUGCGUCUGAGCAGCUCUUUCUGAAAACCUGUCCUGUCGUAAAUGGACUGCACCCGUUUCUCCGUGUGACCUUCUGAGGGGCUGGGGGGUGGAUGGGGACGUCAGGAAGGGGCCACCUGCCUGCCGGAGUCACCUCUGCUCCCACCUUUUGUGGAUGAGGAGACGAAGCCAUUGCCUCGCCUGGGACGGGAAGCGCUUGGAGGCGUGCGCGGCCCUGGGACGCGCUCUGCGGUGGGAUGCUGCGGCCCACGUGCGCCUCCGCUGUGGACUCCCGAUGACCCCCCCACGCCCUGCCCUCGUUGCUCGGACACGCGGAGUCCCCAUUCACAGCUGUGGGGACACUUCGCGAAAUGCCACAGGCGGUGUCCUGGCCUUGACUACUCAUGCUACAUUGUUGUAAUUAUUAAACUAUUUUUCUUAUGUUACAGA